rnacentral:rRNA from 1 species
UACGGAGGGGGCUAGCGUUGUUCGGAAUUACUGGGCGUAAAGCGUGCGUAGACGGUUAUCUAAGUCGGAUGUGAAAGCCCCGGGCUCAACCUGGGAAUUGCAUUCGAGACUGAAUAGCUAGGGUGCGGUAGAGGGAAGCGGAAUUUCCGGUGUAGCGGUGAAAUGCGUAGAUAUCGGAAGGAACAUCAGUGGCGAAAGCGGCUUCCUGGACCAGCACCGACGUUCAGGCACGAAAGCGUGGGGAGCAAACAGG